AUACGGAGGGUGCGUGCGUUAAUCGGAAUUACUGGGCGUCAAGCGUGCGUAGGUGGUCUGUUAAGUCAGGUGUGAAAGCCCCGGGCUCAACCUGGGAAUUGCAUUCGAAACUGCGCGGCUAGAGUCGGGUAGAGGGAAGUGGAAUUCCAGGUGUAGCGGUGAAAUGCGUAGAGAUCUGGAGGAACAUCAGUGGCGAAGGCGGCUUCCUGGACCAAGACUGACGCUCAGGCUCGAAAGCGUGGGUAGCAAACAGGAUUAGAAACCCCAGUAGUCC
rnacentral:rRNA from 1 species